rnacentral:rRNA from 1 species
GGUUAAGCGACUAAGCGUACACGGUGGAUGCCCUGGCAGUCAGAGGCGAUGAAGGACGUGCUAAUCUGCGAUAAGCGUCGGUAAGGUGAUAUGAACCGUUAUAACCGGCGAUUUCCGAAUGGGGAAACCCAGUGUGAUUCGUCACACUAUCAUUAACUGAAUCCAUAGGUUAAUGAGGCGAACCGGGGGAACUGAAACAUCUAAGUACCCCGAGGAAAAGAAAUCAACCGAGAUUCCCCCAGUAGCGGCGAGCGAACGGGGAGCAGCCCAGAGCCUGAAUCAGUGUGUGUGUUAGUGGAAGCGUCUGGAAAGGCGUGCGAUACAGGGUGACAGCCCCGUACACAAAAAUGCACAUACUGUGAGCUCGAUGAGUAGGGCGGGACACGUGGUAUCCUGUCUGAAUAUGGGGGGACCAUCCUCCAAGGCUAAAUACUCCUGACUGACCGAUAGUGAACCAGUACCGUGAGGGAAAGGCGAAAAGAACCCCGGCGAGGGGAGUGAAAAAGAACCUGAAACCGUGUACGUACAAGCAGUGGGAGCACAGAGCAAUCUGUGUGACUGCGUACCUUUUGUAUAAUGGGUCAGCGACUUAUAUUCUGUAGCAAGGUUAACCGAAUAGGGGAGCCGAAGGGAAACCGAGUCUUAACUGGGCGUUAAGUUGCAGGGUAUAGACCCGAAACCCGGUGAUCUAGCCAUGGGCAGGUUGAAGGUUGGGUAACACUAACUGGAGGACCGAACCGACUAAUGUUGAAAAAUUAGCGGAUGACUUGUGGCUGGGGGUGAAAGGCCAAUCAAACCGGGAGAUAGCUGGUUCUCCCCGAAAGCUAUUUAGGUAGCGCCUCGUGAAUUCAUCUCCGGGGGUAGAGCACUGUUUCGGCAAGGGGGUCAUCCCGACUUACCAACCCGAUGCAAACUGCGAAUACCGGAGAAUGUUAUCACGGGAGACACACGGCGGGUGCUAACGUCCGUCGUGAAGAGGGAAACAACCCAGACCGCCAGCUAAGGUCCCAAAGUCAUGGUUAAGUGGGAAACGAUGUGGGAAGGCCCAGACAGCCAGGAUGUUGGCUUAGAAGCAGCCAUCAUUUAAAGAAAGCGUAAUAGCUCACUGGUCGAGUCGGCCUGCGCGGAAGAUGUAACGGGGCUAAACCAUGCACCGAAGCUGCGGCAGCGACACUAUGUGUUGUUGGGUAGGGGAGCGUUCUGUAAGCCUGUGAAGGUGUACUGUGAGGUAUGCUGGAGGUAUCAGAAGUGCGAAUGCUGACAUAAGUAACGAUAAAGCGGGUGAAAAGCCCGCUCGCCGGAAGACCAAGGGUUCCUGUCCAACGUUAAUCGGGGCAGGGUGAGUCGACCCCUAAGGCGAGGCCGAAAGGCGUAGUCGAUGGGAAACAGGUUAAUAUUCCUGUACUUGGUGUUACUGCGAAGGGGGGACGGAGAAGGCUAUGUUGGCCGGGCGACGGUUGUCCCGGUUUAAGCGUGUAGGCUGGUUUUCCAGGCAAAUCCGGAAAAUCAAGGCUGAGGCGUGAUGACGAGGCACUACGGUGCUGAAGCAACAAAUGCCCUGCUUCCAGGAAAAGCCUCUAAGCAUCAGGUAACAUCAAAUCGUACCCCAAACCGACACAGGUGGUCAGGUAGAGAAUACCAAGGCGCUUGAGAGAACUCGGGUGAAGGAACUAGGCAAAAUGGUGCCGUAACUUCGGGAGAAGGCACGCUGAUAUGUAGGUGAAGUCCCUCGCGGAUGGAGCUGAAAUCAGUCGAAGAUACCAGCUGGCUGCAACUGUUUAUUAAAAACACAGCACUGUGCAAACACGAAAGUGGACGUAUACGGUGUGACGCCUGCCCGGUGCCGGAAGGUUAAUUGAUGGGGUUAGCGCAAGCGAAGCUCUUGAUCGAAGCCCCGGUAAACGGCGGCCGUAACUAUAACGGUCCUAAGGUAGCGAAAUUCCUUGUCGGGUAAGUUCCGACCUGCACGAAUGGCGUAAUGAUGGCCAGGCUGUCUCCACCCGAGACUCAGUGAAAUUGAACUCGCUGUGAAGAUGCAGUGUACCCGCGGCAAGACGGAAAGACCCCGUGAACCUUUACUAUAGCUUGACACUGAACAUUGAGCCUUGAUGUGUAGGAUAGGUGGGAGGCUUUGAAGUGUGGACGCCAGUCUGCAUGGAGCCGACCUUGAAAUACCACCCUUUAAUGUUUGAUGUUCUAACGUUGACCCGUGAUCCGGGUUGCGGACAGUGUCUGGUGGGUAGUUUGACUGGGGCGGUCUCCUCCUAAAGAGUAACGGAGGAGCACGAAGGUUGGCUAAUCCUGGUCGGACAUCAGGAGGUUAGUGCAAUGGCAUAAGCCAGCUUGACUGCGAGCGUGACGGCGCGAGCAGGUGCGAAAGCAGGUCAUAGUGAUCCGGUGGUUCUGAAUGGAAGGGCCAUCGCUCAACGGAUAAAAGGUACUCCGGGGAUAACAGGCUGAUACCGCCCAAGAGUUCAUAUCGACGGCGGUGUUUGGCACCUCGAUGUCGGCUCAUCACAUCCUGGGGCUGAAGUAGGUCCCAAGGGUAUGGCUGUUCGCCAUUUAAAGUGGUACGCGAGCUGGGUUUAGAACGUCGUGAGACAGUUCGGUCCCUAUCUGCCGUGGGCGCUGGAGAACUGAGGGGGGCUGCUCCUAGUACGAGAGGACCGGAGUGGACGCAUCACUGGUGUUCGGGUUGUCAUGCCAAUGGCACUGCCCGGUAGCUAAAUGCGGAAGAGAUAAGUGCUGAAAGCAUCUAAGCACGAAACUUGCCCCGAGAUGAGUUCUCCCUGACUCCUUGAGAGUCCUGAAGGAACGUUGAAGACGACGACGUUGAUAGGCCGGGUGUGUAAGCGCAGCGAUGCGUUGAGCUAACCGGUACUAAUGAACCGUGAGGCUUAACCUU